rnacentral:rRNA from 1 species
AUUGAACGCUGGCGGCAGGCCUAACACAUGCAAGUCGAGCGGAUGAAGGGAGCUUGCUCCUGGAUUCAGCGGCGGACGGGUGAGUAAUGCCUAGGAAUCUGCCUGGUAGUGGGGGAUAACGUCCGGAAACGGGCGCUAAUACCGCAUACGUCCUGAGGGAGAAAGUGGGGGAUCUUCGGACCUCACGCUAUCAGAUGAGCCUAGGUCGGAUUAGCUAGUUGGUGGGGUAAAGGCCUACCAAGGCGACGAUCCGUAACUGGUCUGAGAGGAUGAUCAGUCACACUGGAACUGAGACACGGUCCAGACUCCUACGGGAGGCAGCAGUGGGGAAUAUUGGACAAUGGGCGAAAGCCUGAUCGAGCCAUGCCGCGUGUGUGAAGAAGGUCUUCGGAUUGUAAAGCACUGUAAGUUGGGAGGAAGGGCAGUAAGUUAAUACCUGGCUGUUUUGACGGUACCAACAGAAUAAGCACCGGCUAACUUCGUG